ACCUGCCCAGAUGAGCUGGGAGCCUCGUGGGCUGGAGGACCCCCCCCCACCCCGAGUCCGUCCCAACCCCCAUUUCACAGCCCCCAGUGGCUUCAAGUGACCCUCUGAACGGGGGGGUCGGACUCCUGCGGAUGUCCAGGGCUCCGAUAUACGAGCACAGAAAUGUAUUUGUAUGUACGGUGCUGCUCGAGAGUGCGCGACCCUGUCGGGACGGGUCGCGGGAAACCAGAGCCUGCCUGGCAACGCAGG